ACGCUCGACACCUACGGGAGGAGCAGUGGGGAAUAUUGCACAAUGGGGGAAACCCUGAUGCAGCGACGCCGCGUGGAGGAAGAAGGUCUUCGGAUUGUAAACUCCUGUUGUUGGGGAAAAAGAGGAUGGUACCCAACAAGGAAGUGACGGCUAACUACGUGCCAGCAGCCGCGGUAAUCUGAGCGGGCUGGCAAGGC
rnacentral:rRNA from 1 species